UUUUUCCUUACAACUAGUAAAGAACGUUACUUUAGAGAAUAAUAUCUAUAAUUAAUUAAUGGGGUUUCGGGUUUCCCCCUUUUAUUUCCUUCCCACGAAAAAAAAAAGGGAAAUGUUCUUAAUUAGCGAUCUGGAACCCUAGAGACCAGAACGAGUCGAGUUCAACCCAUCUCACCCAGACAUUCCACUCGCGACUCACGAUUCCACCAGCGAUCCCACCAGCCCUUCGUCAAGCUCCUCUCUCUCUCUCCCUCGGCUCCCUCUUUUCUUUGUCUUUAAACCUGGAAUCAACCUUUUUGAUUCUCAGAAAGUAAUCAAAGAUUAUGGAUGCCGUUAAAUUCAGAAUGCCGGUGAAACCGCCGGAAAGAUUCUGAAAGGGGUCGGAAUUUCUUCACAUUCAAGGCACCUUUUGAUCGAUCACAUCGUUAGCUGGAGUUUUCAGAAUAUGUGCUGACCGAUCUCUAGCAGAUGCGCAUUAGACUUCUGCUUGGUUAGAUUGGUCGAGGAGAUUAGUUGCAUUUACCUUAGUGUUUUACCAAUGAUGGCCCCUAUUCGCACGUGUGGAUUUGUUGAUCCAGGUUGGGAGCAUGGAGUUGCUCAAGAUGAAAAGAAAAAGAAGGUUAAAUGUAAUUAUUGCGGGAAAAUAGUUAGUGGUGGCAUAUAUAGGUUGAAGCAACAUUUAGCUCGAGUUUCGGGGGAAGUUACGUAUUGUGACAAGGCUCCAGAGGAAGUAUAUUUGAGAAUGAGAGAAAACCUGGAAGGUUGUCGUUCCAAUAAGAAACCAAGACAGUCGGAAGAUGAUGAACAAUCAUAUUUGAACUUCCAUUCCAAUGAUGAUGAAGAUGGUGGUUUACAUGUGGCUUAUAGAAAUAGAGGAAGGCAAUUGAUGGUAAACCGAAACGUCGGUGCUAACAUGACUCCUCUAAGAUCAUUAAGAUAUGUUGACCCUGGAUGGGAACACGGUGUGGCUCAGGACGAAAGGAAGAAGAAGGUUAAGUGCAACUACUGUGAAAAGAUAGUUAGUGGAGGUAUUAAUAGGUUUAAGCAACAUCUAGCCAGAAUUCCUGGAGAGGUAGCCCCGUGUAAACACGCUCCUGAGGAAGUGUAUCUUAAGAUCAAAGAGAAUAUGAAAUGGCAUCGUACUGGCAGGAGAAAUGGACAGACCGAUGCCAACGAGUUAUCGGCUUAUUUUAUGCAAUCAGAUAAUGAAGAAGAGGAAGACGAGAAAGAGGAAUCCUUGCAUCAUAUUAGCAAGGAAAGAUUGAUCGAUGGUGACAAAAGGUCAAGCAAAGAUUUGAGAAGUACCUUUAGGGGAAUGUCCCCUGGUGGUGGAUCUGAACCGUCGGUUAAAAGAUCGAGGUUAGAUUCUGUUUUUCUGAAAACCACCAAAAGACCAACCGAACAGUUGCACAAACAAGCAUUAGUAAAAAGAGGAGCCAAUAGGAGGUCACGCAAAGAAGUAAUGUCUGCAAUUUGCAAAUUCUUUUGCUAUGCAGGAAUUCCUUUCCAGUCUGCAAAUUCUGUUUACUUUCAUAAGAUGUUGGAGACAGUCGGUCAAUAUGGAUCAGGCUUGGUUGGCCCCUCGUGCCAAUUGAUAUCUGGUCGGUUAUUACAGGACGAAGUGGCAACCGUUAAGACUUACCUGGUUGAGUUGAAGGCCUCCUGGGCAAUUACUGGCUGUUCUAUACUGGUGGACAGUCGGAAGGAUUCAAAUGGUCGAACGUCUAUAAACUUUUUGGUUUCUUGUCCCCGUGGUGUUUACUUUGUCUCAUCAGUUGAUGCCACUGAAGUAGCAGAUGACCCUUCAAACUUGUUUAGGGUGCUUGAUGCAGUGGUAGAUGAAAUUGGGGAGGAAAAUGUGGUGCAGGUAAUCACUGAGAAUACUCCUAAUUAUAAAGCUGCUGGUAAAAUGCUCGAGGAGAAGAGAAGAAAUUUAUUCUGGACGCCAUGUGCGACCUAUUGUAUUGAUCACAUGCUUGAAGAUUUUUUGAAAUUGAGAACCGUGGAAGAUUGCAUGGAAAAGUGCCAAAAAAUUACCAAGUUUAUUUACAAUCGGAACUGGUUGUUAAAUUUCAUGAAGAACGAGUUCACCCAAGGGUUGGAACUUCUUAGACCUGCAGUUACUCGGAACGCCUCGAACUUUGCUACUUUGCAGUGCUUCCUGGACCACAGAGCUAGUUUACGGAGAAUGUUCGUCUCCAAUGAGUGGACUUCUUGCAGGUUUUCUAAAUCUGGUGAGGGACAAGAAGUAGAGAUGAUUGUAUUAAAUACUUCAUUUUGGAAGAAGGUUCAAUAUGUUUGUAAAUCUGUGGAACCAGUAUUGCAAGUUCUUCAAAAAUCCGAUUCGGUUCAAAGCUUGUCGAUGUCAUCUAUAUAUAAUGACAUGUACAGAGCCAAGUUCGCUAUACAAUCCAUUCAUGGCGACGAUGCCAGGAAAUAUGGACCAUUCUGGAAUGUGAUAGAUAGCAACUGGAAUUCUUUAUUUUGCCACCCUUUACAUAUGGCUGCUUUUUUCUUAAACCCAUCAUACAGAUAUCGUCCUGAUUUCGUGGCGCAUUCGGAGGUGGUUCGUGGACUUAAUGAAUGCAUAGUUCGGCUCGAGUCUGACAGUUCCAGAAGGAUUUCUGCAUCUAUGCAGAUUUCGGACUAUAAUUCAGCAAAAUCUGAUUUUGGAACUGAGCUGGCUAUCAGUACAAGAACAGAGCUUGAUCCAGCUGCAUGGUGGCAACAACAUGGAAUUAGUUGUUUAGAACUGCAACAAAUAGCUGUUCGCAUACUGAGUCAAACAUGUUCAUCUUUGUGUUGUGAACACUACUGGUCCCCUUUCAAGAAUGAACGCAGUCAAAAGAACAAUGCUUUGUCUCAGAGAAAAAUGGCUGAUUUGUUGUAUGUUCACUACAACCUUCGGCUUCGAGAACGCCAACUAAGAAAGCGAUCUAGUGACUCUGUUUCUCUUGAUGAUAUUCUUAUGGAACAUUUGUUGGAUGAUUGGAUUGUGGAACCUCAGAAACAAGGCAUGCAAGAAGAUGAGGAAAUCCUUUGUCCUGGAAUGGAGACACUAGAUGCAUAUGAGAAUGAUUUGAUUGACUAUGAGGACGGGACUACAGAGGCGGCGAGGAAGGGCUGUCUUCAACUGGUUUGUUUGACUAAUGUCGAACCAUUGGAUGUCAACCCUGCCAAUGGAGGCGCUUCCACCGACAAUGAUGCCGAUGUUAAGUUCUACGACGAUGAGCUAAGUGACUAAACUUGACAUGAGUUGAGCUCACCAGCCAUUGUCUGGUUACCUGAUUUAUGGCUUCAUAUUUAUGUUUUUGAUCUCUAUAACCCAAGUCAGCUUUAAUCCAGGUGCAUCUGUAAUUACACGAAGUUUUACUCUUAUUCAAAUCCGAAUCCAAACGAACAAGAUUUGCGCAUUUAGUGGUCCGGUGCAAAGGAAGAAGGGUCGUGCCCAAUCUCAAACAAUUCUUCCAUGCUACUUUUCGGGAAUCAAAUAAGUUUUACAACGACGAGUUAGGCGUUAAGCGACUAAUACAAGUACGUAACCCAACCCAACACUAUAACCUUUAUUACUUAGUUAU